UCAGGAUGAACGCUGGCGGCGUGCUAACACAUGCAAGUCGAGCGAAGCGAUUCAAAUGAAGUUUCGGAUGGAUUUGAAUUGACUUAGCGGCGGACGGGUGAGUAACGCGUGGGUAACCUGCCUCAUACAGGGGGAUAACAGUUGGAAACGGCUGCUAAUACCGCAUAAGCACACAGUGCCGCAUGGUACGGUGUGAAAAACUCCGGUGGUAUGAGAUGGACCCGCGUCUGAUUAGGUAGUUGGUGAGGUAACGGCCCACCAAGCCGACGAUCAGUAGCCGACCUGAGAGGGUGACCGGCCACAUUGGGACUGAGACACGGCCCAAACUCCUACGGGAGGCAGCGGUGGGGAAUAUUGGACAAUGGGGGAAACCCUGAUCCAAGCGACGCCGCGUGAGUGAAGAAGUAUUUCGGUAUGUAAAGCUCUAUCAGCAGGGAAGAAAAUGACGGUACCUGACUAAGAAGCCCCGGCUAACUACGUGCCAGCAGCCGC
rnacentral:rRNA from 1 species